UAGCGGAUCACGCGCAGCCCAGGGCCCGCCUGGAACCCUACCAAUUUCCCCCAAAUCCCAACGCCCUUUACCAACACCGCGUUGCUGUUCGAAUCGGCGCUCGCCGGUUACCGCCGAUCACCGCGACCACGUUGCUGUUCGAAUCGACAGCCCUUCUGCUUUCGGAGCCACCAUUGACGCCUGCCACGAAUCUUGUGGUUUUCAGCUGUCUCUCGCUAUUUUUUCCUCGAAUAUUGUGCUUCCGCCUACUUUGAGUUUCUCGCAGUCCUUGGAGUCACUUCCGUUGCCUAUCGAUCCAUCCUGACCAUUAACUGGCCUGACGUAAGGUGACGAAGCCAUUUUCUGUUUCAUAGGUUGUUCGGAAAUAGGAUUUGGAGAGCUCACAGUUUGGGAGCGUCUUGAUUAGGAAGCGGCCUCCGUUCUUUCAUGAUGUCACAACGUCUAUACAAGUUUUCAAAUUGAAAUAUGGAUUUGGGGCAAGAGUAUACACCAUAGCCAGUGCAACACGGAUUUCAAAAAUGGCGAGAGAGAUACAUACUUAGUAGAUGGAACCAGAGUCCACUGGCCAAGAGUUGGAGCAUGCAGUUGUGUCAGAGAUGAUUGGAGAGCCUGCUAUCAUAAUUGAUGGUGUGCCACCUUUACCUCCUGAUUCUGUAAAGAUUUGUGGCGAGGCCUCAACUCAUGUUGGAUCCACAUUUGAUCCUUGCUUUGGUGAGUGGCUAGAGGGAAGAAAGGUCCACAAGUUAUUUGGAGAUCACUAUUUUUCUGGAAUAAUUGUCAAGUAUGAUAGUGAAUCAAAUUGGUACAGAGUUAUCUACGAAGAUGGGGAUUCUGAAGAUCUUGAGUGGCAUGAACUAGAGGAAAUUUUGUUACCUCUUGACAUCUCUAUUCCAUUAACAACCCUGGCUUUGAAAAGAUGCAACUCAAAUCUGUCCGAUUCCAUGCCACAUAUUACUCCUGUGAUAAUGGGGAAGGGUACUAAAAAGGGUUAGGAAGAAGGAAGAAGUCGAUAAAGAUGCUUCAAACAUUCCAAACAUGUAGAUGAGGGGAAAUAGUUAUAAUCCAAGGAUUUGUCAAAUAUUUCAUGGUCGGCAAUAGUUGGAUUUGAUGUUCUGAUGCAUCUCAUGGAGAACACUUCAUCUGAGACAGCAAAUCUGCAGCUUUAUGAAAAGGUUAAUGCAAGAACAAAACCUUGUUCUAUCAAUGACAUGACUGCUGAAGCUUCCAACAUGCAAAAGACUGGGCAACAAACGAAAGAAAUCCUAGUGAAGUGAACAAAACAACACCUUUGCUUCAAGGUAAAAGAAUAUGGAGGUAAAGAUUAGUUUUAGAAAUAUCCUUUCCAAAUAUUGUUUUUUAGGUGUGCUUCGAAAAAUUUCAAACCUCUUGUUUGGUCUUGAAAAGUUUGGCUGUAUGUCAUGUAAAUAAGUUUGGUUGUAUUAGUUAUAGGUUGGAAGUCUACA